rnacentral:rRNA from 1 species
GCGAACGCUGUCGGCAGGCCUAACACAUGCAAGUCGAACGAACCCUUCGGGGUUAGUGGCGGACGGGUGAGUAACACGUGGGAAUAUGCCUUUUGGUACGGAACAACGUCUGGAAACGGACGCUAAUACCGUAUGGUCCCUUCGGGGUAAAGAUUUAUCGCCAAAAGAGUAGCCCGCGCUGGAUUAGCUAGUUGGUGAGGUAAUGGCUCACCAAGGCGACGAUCCAUAGCUGGUCUGAGAGGACGAUCAGCCACACUGGGACUGAGACACGGCCCAGACUCCUACGGGAGGCAGCAGUUAGGAAUAUUGGACAAUGGGGGCAACCCUGAUCCAGCCAUGCCGCGUGAGUGAUGAAGGCCUUCGGGUUGUAAAGCUCUUUAGCCGAUGAUUAUAAUGACUGUAGUCGGAAAAUAAGCCCCGGCUAACUUCGU